UUUCCAGGAUGGGGAAACAUGACUGAACAUUGCCGUGACAUCAGAGAGGGUAAAGCCCGUUCCUUUCGAGACUCUAUGUAAGAAGCUUUCCCACUGGGCCGUCCAACCAGGAGCUCAUGAUUCCAAAAGUCAAGAAUAUUCAUGGAAUAUUCUGGAGCGUGAGUUCGGGAAAUCUGUCCUUGGGCCUGCCUUCGUGGACCUAAUGACCCUGAAGGAGCUAUCAUCCCGUGAUGAAUGGAUUAUGAGGGGAUGCACCCACUUGUUUUCUGUUGCCUCCCCUUUUUCAGGUGGCCCCAACUUCCAACUACGCUAGAUUGAGCCAAGGCGCCCUUUCUUGUCCUCUUCCUCUUGCUAUCACAAACGCCGUGCACAAAAGACGCUUAGGUGAGGAAAGGUUUAUCUGAUGUACACUGCAGCACUGAGGGAAGUCAAGGCAGGAACCCGAAGGCCAAACUGUGUACUACUACAGGAGGCAUUGUCUCCAGCUAAGGAAUUCACCUCAGCCAAGGAUGUACAGCAGAAACCUUGGAGGCAAUGCGUGUUGCUCAUUUGCUGCUGUAGAGGAAUGCUAAUCCAGCAACAUGGCUCUUUUGGCAAGGGAUCCUAUCCAACAACCUUCUAGACAUAUGUGAUCAGCUGGACUGCAGACACACACCACACCCUGGACUGGAAUCCCUCUGACUGGAAUACAGGCAUGCCCUUAGAACAUUCCUUUAAUCCCUAAUAGUGAAGGUAAGGCAAGUUUGUAGAAGGAAGCAGCUGUGCUUGAAAGUGAUGCGGGGUAGAUAAAGUGAUGAACCAGGGGGAAAAUUUGACAGAACAAGUCUGAGAUUGGAUAAGCCCAACUCUCAUGAGAACAGCACAGGAAAGAGAAGCCAUUUCGGAGCAGUGCAGGCAGAGGUAGACAGUUGGGAAUCAGUUUCAGUCAGUGCAGUACAUGCAAGACAGUUGAGUUUGUGAGCUCUGCUCAGUCUGCGAAGCUCAUGUAGUGCAGGUCAACGAUGGCAGUAGAAGCUAAGGAAUAGGGAGGAGCCAGAGUAUUAGAGCGAAUUGGCAGAGUUAGUUAUGAGGACAAGCAGAGCAAAUCAGUGAGAAGCCAAGAGAAGCCAGAUUGAAUCAGCCAGCUUGGAGACAAGUUUGAGCCAGGACAGCUAAAGUAAACCAGCCAGAGAUCAGAAAAAAAACUAGAAAGGUGAUCUUAUUCAGCAGAAAGCCUCCAAGACAUUUAUAUCUGGUAAAUAAAAGAUACACUUACAUGCAG
rnacentral:sRNA from 1 species